GACGUAGGGCGCGAGCGUUGUCCGGAUUUAUUGGGCGUAAAGAGCUCGUAGGCGGCUUGUCGCGUCGUCCGUGAAAACUGAGGGCUCAACCCUCAGCUUGCGGUCGAUACGGGCAGGCUGGAGUUCGGUAGGGGAGACUGGAAUUCCUGGUGUAGCGGUGAAAUGCGCAGAUAUCAGGAGGAACACCGGUGGCGAAGGCGGGUCUCUGGGCCGAUACUGACGCUGAGGAGCGAAAGCGUGGGGAGCGAACAGG
rnacentral:rRNA from 1 species